rnacentral:rRNA from 1 species
AUUGAACGCUGGCGGCAGGCCUAACACAUGCAAGUCGAGCGGAGCGGCUGACGGGUGAGUAAUUCCUAGGAAUCUGCCUGGUAGUGGGGGAUAACGUCCGGCAACGGGCGCGAAUACCGCAUACUUUCAGAUGAGCGUAGGUCGGAUUGGCUCGUUGGUGGGGUAAGGGGCGACCGAGGCGACGAUCCGUAACUGGGCUGAGAGGAUGAUCAGGCAAACUGGAACUUGGACACGGUCCAGAGUCCUACGGGCGUAAGCAGUGGGGAAUAUUGGAAAAUGGGCGAAAGCCUGAUCCAGCCAUGCCGCGUGUGUGAAGAAGGUCUUCGGAUUGUAAAGCACUUUAAGUUGGGAGGCGUUACCAACAGAAUAAGCACCGGCUAACUUCGUGCCAGCAGCCGCGGUAAUAC